AAUCAACGCUGGCGGCGUGCCUAACACAUGCAAGUCGCACGAGAAAGUGGAGCAAUCCAUGAGUACAGUGGCGCACGGGUGAGUAACACGUGAAUCAUCUACCUUCGAGUGGGGAAUAACUGAGAGAAAUCUUAGCUAAUACCGCAUAAUACCUACAGGUCAAAGCAGCAAUGCGCUUGAAGAGGAGUUCGCGGCAGAUUAGUUAGUUGGCGGGGUAAUGGCCCACCAAGACGAUGAUCUGUAUCCGGCCUGAGAGGGCGCACGGACACACUGGAACUGAAACACGGUCCAGACUCCUACGGGAGGCAGCAGUGGGGAAUUUUGCGCAAUGGGGGAAACCCUGACGCAGCAACGCCGCGUGGAGGAUGAAGCCCCUUGGGGUGUAAACUCCUUUCGUUCGGGAAGAUUAUGACGGUACCGAAAUAAGAAGCCCCGGCUAACUUCGUGCCAGCAGCCGCAGUAAUAC
rnacentral:rRNA from 1 species